rfam:Postia placenta Mad-698-R POSPLscaffold_6_Cont580, whole genome shotgun sequence.
AUUCUUGUGCUCGGGCACGUACUGUCGCCAGUGAGGUCUAUACCGAGGCACAGUCUUUUGCUGAUUGCAAAUUACACAUCCGAACACGUCUGUUGGCUUCGGCCUUCAGCAAUUUUUGGAAACUCCUUACCAUAUGUUCUUGGAA